rnacentral:rRNA from 1 species
AUUACUGGGCGUAAAGCGCGCGUAGGUGGUUCAGCAAGUUGGAUGUGAAAUCCCCGGGCUCAACCUGGGAACUGCAUCCAAAACUACUGAGCUAGAGUACGGUAGAGGGUGGUGGAAUUUCCUGUGUAGCGGUGAAAUGCGUAGAUAUAGGAAGGAACACCAGUGGCGAAGGCGACCACCUGGACUGAUACUGACACUGAGGUGCGAAAGCGUGGGGAGCAAACA